rnacentral:rRNA from 1 species
AUUGAACGCUUGCGGCAGGCCUAACACAUGCAAGUCGAACGAGUGGAUGACGGGUGAGUGAUGUCUGGGAAAAUGCCCGCUGGAGGGGGAUAACUACUGGAAACGGUAGCUAAUACCGCAUACCAUCGGAUGUGCCCAGAAGGGAUUAGCUAGUAGGUGGGGUACCGGCUCACCUAGGCGACGAUCCCUAGCUGGUCUGAGAGGCUGACCGGCCACACGGGAAUUGAGACACGGUCCAGACUCCUAAGGGAGGCAGCCGUGGGGAAUAAGGCACAAUGGGCGAAAGCCUGAUGCAGCCAUGCCGCGUGUACGAUGUAGGCCUUCGGGUUGUAAAGUACUUUCUGCGAAGAGGCGUUACUCGCAGAAGAAGCACCGGCUAACUCCGUGCCAGCAGCCGCGGUAAUAC